rnacentral:rRNA from 1 species
UACGUAGGUGGCAAGCGUGAUCCGGAUUUACUGGGUGUAAAGGGCGUGUAGGCGGGGAAGCAAGUCAGAUGUGAAAACCACGGGCUCAACCUGUGGCCUGCAUUUGAAACUGUUUUUCUUGAGUGCUGGAGAGGCAAUCGGAAUUCCGUGUGUAGCGGUGAAAUGCGUAGAUAUACGGAGGAACACCAGUGGCGAAGGCGGAUUGCUGGACAGUAACUGACGCUGAGGCGCGAAAGCGUGGGGAGCAAACAGG